UCGUACAUAGCCGGAGUAUUGGGAGAGAGAACAGAGACUACGUCAGACCUGCCGAUUCCGAUUGAAGACAGAGAAGACGCCACGCGGAGACAACGGAGGUUUGUUUCACGCCACGUGUAAACGGUGUUGCUGCCAUAAACGAUGGAGGUACAGUCACCGUAAACGGUGGCGGCUCUCUCUAAAAAACCUAUCGGCGUCAACGGCGGCGAGUUUGCGGCGCAUGGCUUCAUUUCCUCCAUCUCUUCCUCCUAGUGGUAAUCAAAGACUCUACUGUACUGUACUGUUCUUACUGUUUAUUAUAUAAUGACAUUUUAUUUCCAAGUGAACAAUCCACGUGAUGAAAAAUUUGUAAAACAAUAUUUUGGGUUUAGAAAUUGAGAACAAAUCUAAACCAUUAGCUGGAAAUUAAUUAUCUUCAGCUUCCACCACAUUAUAAUCAUAGACAUUUGUUACCUACCCUACACAACCACUAGCGUACUAAGUCUUAAACCAAUGUUCGAAACUACUAAAUAUAAUUAGAUGUUGAUUUAUAAUGUAUUGUUAUUCGACACCACAACUUUCUUUGUUUGCUGAUCGUCACUCAAAGUCACAUUAAUUGUAAUCUUACUAUUACGCCAAUAUAGAUUGUUAAACAAACAAACAAAAAAGUUUAUAGAGAAUAACCUUAAAAUAUCGCUUAAUCUCGUUGCAAUAUUGUUUGGUGGAUCUAAAUGUCGUAUGUGGUAAUUUCAAUGUUAAAAACAAAUAUAAUUGGCAUAUUAUCUUUUAUGUUGGUAUGGUAUUUUUCUACACUUUUAUAACAUGAAAUGAUUUUUCUUUAGAUAAUAUUGUUAAACUUUGUAAAAGAAAUAAUGGUUGUAAUAUUGAAAAUGAUGUUAAUAUUUAUGUACUAUUCUCUUGUUAAACAUUCAUUUUAAUUAGGCUAUUCUUAAUUAAGUAUAGUAUGUGAUGUUGUUAUUAACAUUUUUACGAUACCAAGAUAUAUUAAUUUGUCAUUUUUUCCGAUAUAAAUUUGAUCAUUUGUAUAGAAUAUUUUAAAUCUAUAUAUUGAACUUAAAUUUUAAUGGAAAUAUUUCUUGGUUUAGUACGUACAGUAUAUAUUAUUUAGAGAAUUUUUCUGAUAUCCAUCUUUUAGUGACUAACUAAUUUACUUCAAAGGUUUUGAAUGAAUUUUAAAAUAAUUUACUUAGAUAUAUAUAUAUAUAUAUAUAUAUAUAUAUAAUGACUAAAUUAAUCUACUUUAAACCAUCGUUAACUAACAGUUUUGGUCGAACUAUUUUGACGAAAAAAAACUGAAGUAAAAAAGUUCCAAAAUUGGUUACAAACGGAUAAAUGGAAACCAUAAUUUCAACCAAACUCUACAGAAUAAGAAAAAACAAUUAUGAAGUCAGAGAUAAGAAAAUUGAGAGAUAUUAAAAACAAUUUACAUUUUAUUUUUUUGUUAAAUUUCAUUUUCUUUAACCAAUAUAAAUGUUUCAAAACUUUAGCUCCGAAUAGUAACUGCGUUUUGCGCUAUGGGAGAAAUGCGGUGCGGUUCAAAUAGUAAUGAAAAUACAUAGAUACAUAUGUAUAUGUAGAAAUUUUGAUAGGGUUACAGCACUGUUGUGAUACGGUUUUGAGUGCGGUUUUAGUUACCUUUCACAGCCUUAAUUGGUUCAGGGAUCAACCGAUCGUCCGCGUUCGCGUCGUGGGUCAUGUGAUGGUUUAGCCAUUUCGAAUUCCAAAGCACUCACAUGUUUUAUCCCUUUUAUUUAUUACGGGAUAUGCUUUGCUACAUUUUCCUCACGACACAUUAAUACAUUAUUAAUGAGAUUGGACUAGUGGCGGGUGCAAAAUUAUAUGGGAAGGGGAAAGAUUUUUUUGUUCUUUUUUUUUCAGCCACAUUAAAAUUAUGAACAUACACAACCACUUGAGUACUAGCUAAUUCCAAACCAAUGUUCAAAAAAAACCCAAAAAAAAACCAUUAUAGACAAACUUAAUAAAUAGCGUUGGAGAGAGAGAAUAAACAUGAACAUCUAAAAAGGGAAAGGAGAAUGAAGAAUGAGGAGGAGGAGCCGCUCAGCCCGAUGGCUCGUGUAUUCCAAUCGCCGGACAUAGACUUAUGUGCCAUCAUCAACAUUGGGUUCAAAACAAAAAUUAAUCCCGACGUUGUUCUUGAUGCUUUGAAGCAAAAUGUUUACAAGCAUCCUCGUUUCUCCAGCAAACUGGUACCCUCCUAUAAAUAUACCACACAUUCUUUACAUAGUUAUUUUCCAUCACUUAUAUGUGAUGCAUUCAUACAUGACAUCAUUUAGAAUUACAUAUAUAUGUUUAUGUACAGAUGGAUAAAUUGAUUUUUUUUUAAAAUGAAUUAUAUGUUUGAUAUAUAAUUAAUUUACCUGAUCUCUACACAGUUUUGUCGGCGGCCGUGUUUUUGUAGAUAUAUGUAUAAAUUUUGCUUAAAUCCUACUUGAGAUUUGACAUGAUAGUGUUUUGGUCUCCAUCUGUCUUAUCUUAAUAGUCUGAAAAUGGUGAAAAAUGGAUCGAGACCGAAGUCAAUGUAGAAGAUCAUGUAAUCGUACCAUACAUAGAUCCAGAAGAUAUAUGUGAAGGUGGACAAAGCUUCGUCGAUGAUUAUAUCUCACGUCUCACAUUGAUUCCUCUUGAUAGAUCAAGACCUUUGUGGGACAUUCACAUCCUUAAUGUCAAAACCUCAUAUGCUGAAGCAGUCGGUGUAAUAAGAUUUAACCAUGCGUUGGCAGAUGGAAUGUCCUUCAUUUCCCUAGUUCUUGCAUGUACCCAUAAAACAUCAAAUCCUGACAUGUUGUCUACUGCUAUUCCUUCGGUGAAACGGCGAAGCACGGUGUCACAUAGCCUAAAAAAAACCGGCUGGUUCUUAACGGCAAUAUUCACCAUUGGUUCUACAAUGAGACUAAUUUGGAAUACAUUGGUAGAUAUGUUCUUGCUUUUUGCUACUAUGUUGUUUCUGAAGGAUACAAAAACACCACUAAAAGGCGGUGCGAAUGUCAGGAGCAAUCCAAAGACAUUUUAUCACCGAAAUAUCUCUCUAGAUGACAUUAAACUUAUCAAGAACGCUAUGAACAUGGUACGUUAAUUGUGAUUUAUGUUCAUAACUCACUUGAGGGUCAUUUUCUCUUACCUUUUUAAAGGAUAUGUGCUUUAUCUUCAUAUAUUGCAUAUGGUGCUAGACUAUCAACGAUGUUCUACUCGGAAUUACACAAGCUGCUCUUUCUAGCUAUUUGAACCGACGAUAUGGUAAACAUUAAACUCAAUAUAUUUAUAUAUGAUGUAUUAUUAAGAUCCUAACCAGAAGUGGAUCAAUAUACAAAGAAAAGAAUAAGCUUAUAUGAUCAAUCUAUAUCUAAUUAAUAUGUUUCACACGCGUAUCUUAUUAUUCUUGAAGAACACGAAAAUAAUAAUGAGGAGGAUGGAGUAUUGACUUCAUAUACAAACAAUCUUCCAGAUCGAAUACGAUUUCGUGCAGGUUGUACGGUAAACCUAAGGUCAGACAUCGGGUUCAAGGUUAGAAACAUACUCCUCAAAUUAUAUAAUUUGAGCUCUUUCUUAUCAACAAACAAUAUUUAUGUAACAUAUUAUUUCUUUCUGUAUAAAUUAAGCCUUUGGCAGAAAUGAUGGUCAAGGAUUCAAAAUGCAGAUGGGGAAACUACUUUAGCUUUAUUAUUUUACCAUUAUCGAUUAGUUUAGAAACCGAUCCAUUGGUUUAUCUAAACAAAUCCAAAGCUAUGAUGGCUCGAACGAAGCACUCUUAUCAAGCAGCUCUAACGUAUUUUCUUAUCAAAAUAUCCCUAAAAGUGUUAGGAGCUAAGGUAAACAAAUUGAGUUUUGUUUGCAUAUUUGUGGACUAUAUAUAACACUUUUCUUCAAUUAUAGGCAACGACAUCAUUAUUCAAUCAACACUUGAUGAACAUAACGACAUGUGUUUCAAACGUUAUGGGUCCUAUGGAAGAAAUCAGUUUCAAUGGCCAUCCUGUCGCUUACAUUUCUCCAAGCUCUUAUGGACACUCACAUGUACGUCUUUUUGUGUUUGUUGCUCAAUUUACUUUAAAUGGUAAGCUUUUCUUUUUAAUUGUUUCUUGUUUUUGUGCUUGAUAGGCAUUGUUGAUACAUUACACAAGUUAUGCUGGUGAAAUGACAAUUACUAUAACGGUUGAUCCUACUGUAAUACCGGAUCCUCACAAGAUUUGUGAUGAUAUGGAAGAAUCACUGAAAACAAUGAAAGCUGUUCUCUGGGAAAGAGGGUUACUCAAAGAGGCCUAUAAGGUCUAAAUCCUUAAUUAAAGACGAGAUCUAUUUUUCUUUGGUACUAAAGUGUUCUAUAAGCUUUCAAUAUUUGUUUUGUAAUAUCAAUUGAAGUCGGAAUAAAUUGAUGGGUCAGUUACUCAGUUCAAUUUUCUUGGAAACAAGAAAUUUAUUUUAACUGUAAUUUUUACUUUACAAAUACUUAAAAUACAGUUUCCACAAUACAAUGAAAUCAGAAAAGCAAAAUCACUCUCUCCAUACUCAACAAUUAGUCAUCAAACAUACAUAAUGCACAACAAAGUGCUAACUAAUUAGACUUCUUGCCUUCCAAGAUGUUUUGCUUGGCUCCUACAAAUGCUACAAGCUCUUCAACAGAAACCUUACAAGCAUCUUUUCUAACACCAAUGUCGUAAAACAGACGACCAAUACAGUAAUUACCAUAUUCAGCCAAAGCCAAACCACCAAUACCAGGAACUACAUAUUUAACUGUCGAAGAAAUAAACUGGUUUACAACAGAAACCACAGAGUCAUCUUCAUGACCACUACUACUCUUCUUUUUCACACCUAAAACCUUAAGCGUCAAAGCAACAACACCACCAGCUGCAGAUACAGAAUUGGCUUGACCACUACAUCCAAACUUGGUAGCAACCGACAACACAAACAAACCAGUUUUGCAAUAAAUCGCAAAAUCUUCACAAUUGUUGUCUAAAAGAUCGUACUCACCAAAUCCAUUUUGCAAAAGGAGAAAUUUAGCACGAGAAAUGACUUCAUCACAAGGAUCUGAAGAUGCUAUCGUGCAUGUACCACCUCGUUUGGCUAGAAAGAUAGACGGAGAGGCACUGUAUUCGAAGAGAUGUAGAUUUCCUCCGGCGAGAAAACAAUCAAGACAAGAAGAGAUUACACCACCGAGAUUGGAUUGAUCUCCACAAUCAAUACACUUUUUGUCUCUUCUUCCAUGAUUUGGUAUUGAAAUAUCGAUGAUCUUGUCCAAAACUGUUCCUGUUCCGAAUUCUAGACCACCUCCACGAGUGAAAUGAAUGACUUUCUCAUCUCCUACGUAGACUCCUGAAAAAUUGCAAAACAGGGAAAUAUCGUGUUAUGGAAUAACCCAAAUUUUGUGAUCUUUGUUGAUAAACCCAGAAAUAACUAAGAUCAAACGUUAAGAGAUGGAACCGUGAUGAGAGUAGAUAUAAGCGUUACGCCAAGAAUAGAUGUGAUCGCCUGGUUUCAGAUCAUCUCUGGAGAUCUUGUGGGAGAACAAUCCCAUCUUCUAUAGUUCUUAGCGAGAGAGAGAAGAGAAGGAGAUCCGAGUUUGCUUAAUGAGUUGGGUUUUCUUUUUUCGUGGAGGUAUUUUAUAUUACAAAUUAAUCUUGGUAAGAUAACAUGGCUUCCAACUAUAUAUGGAAACUGCAAAACAGUCAUCAAAUUAAUUAAUUACAAAACAGCAUAUAAAUGAGAUAAUUAUGGACACGCAACUUGUGAGUUGUGAGAUACGUGUCUUUUAAGACACGGUGUUAACGCGUUGGACUAUGUUACUCUUUUUAGUUAGUUUGAUGUUUGUUUAGUUCUGUUUUGUUUUGUUUGGUCUCCUGGCCGAGGAUCACUAACCAUAAAUUUUUAACCCUAUACUGAAACGGUCUACAAUGGACUUAAGACAUUCUCAUACUUGUUAGUUAUGGCUAAGGCUGAUUGUUGGGGUGCACCAUAUAAACUAGGCUUCAACCACGGAAACGGUCAUUCAGCUUUUUCUGGCCGAGUUCUUGAGCGGAACUCAACAUGGCAACGAAAAAAACGUAACUCAUGACGAAAGUCAUUUUCAUACACUUUAAUUUGUUUAUUAGACAUCAAAAGUACACUUUAAGCCUUUGUUCUAUCAAAUUCGCAAGUUCUAAUUUUACAUCCGACUCAACCUCGUCGUACCCAUCUUCUUCGCAAUCUCUCUAAGUACAAACUUCAUAACCUUCCCCGUCGAAGUUUUAGGCAGCUCAUCCACAAAGGACACCGUUUUAGGAACCAUAUAUUUCGGCAUCUUCUUCCUACAAUACUCUAUCAUUUCCACCUCCGUCGGUCUUUGAGUCAACCCACUUUUCAAACUAACAAACGCACACGGCGUCUCUCCCCAAAACACAUCAGGUCUCGCCACCACCGCCACUUCAUUCACCGCCGGAUUCGUAUACAAAACCGUUUCAACCUCAACACUACUCACAUUUUCACCUCCCGUUAUAAUUAUAUCUUUCGAUCUAUCUUUAAUCUCUAGAUAACCAUCGGAAUGAAUCACACCAACAUCUCCGGUGUAAAACCACCCGUUCUUUAAAGCUUUCUCUGUUCCGACCGGAUCUUUUAAGUAACCGAGCAUGAUCGAGCUUCCUCUCAUCACUAUUUCUCCGACGGUUUCUCCGUUUCUCUCAACGCUCCUACCUGAUUCAGGAUCCACCACGUCGAUUUCAGUAAAUCCGACGGUUCUCACUCCUUGCCGUGCUUUCAACCUCGCUCGAUCGCUCGCCGGUAAACGAUUCCACUGUGGCUUCCACGCGCAUGACACGUUUAAUCCGGCGGUUUCCGUUAACCCGUAUCCGUGACUUAUCACGAAUCCAAUUGAUUCUGCUCGGAGGAGUACGGCUGCUGGAGGCGGAGCACCGGCGGUUAAGAUGUUGACAGGACGAUUUAACGGCUGAAAUUCGUUAGUCGCCGACAACAUGUUGAGCACUACCGGAGCUCCACACAUGUGUGUGACGCCGUGAUCACGGAUCAAACGGUAGAUUAACGGCGCGUCGAAUUUACGCAAACAGACGUUAGUUCCUCCGACGGCGGCGAUUCCCCAUGGAUAGCUCCAGCCGUUAGCGUGAAAUAUCGGUAGAGUCCAUAAGUAAACCGGAUUUUUCGGUACGGUCCAAUCGAUUAAAGAAUCAAUUGACAUUACGAAAAUUCCUCUGUGGCAGUGUACGACUCCUUUAGGAGCCGAAGUCGUACCGGAAGUGUAAUUAAGCACAACCGGAUCCCAUUCGCUUUCGGGUCGGAUCCAUUUAAAAUCCAGAUCACCUCUAUGGAUCAGAUCAUCGUAAGUGUAACUGAAUUUGGUACGAUCCGCCACGUCAGCAUCUCCUCCUUCUUCUUCUUUAUCGGCGAUGAAGACAAGAAUCGGCGGAUCAGUCGUCAUCAUCGAGAUCGCUUCAACGGCAAGAUCAACGGAGAAGACGUCGACGAAGAGAAGCUUAGAUCCACAGUGACGGAGAAGAACAGAGACGGUGCGUGCGUCGAGGCGAGUGUUGAUGUUGUUGAGGAUUGCGCCGGACAUGGGAACAGCAAACUGGAGCUCGUACAUAGCCGGAGUAUUGGGAGAGAGAACAGAGACUACGUCAGACCUGCCGAUUCCGAUUGAAGACAGAGAAGACGCCACGCGGAGACAACGGAGGUUUGUUUCACGCCACGUGUAAACGGUGUUGCUGCCAUAAACGAUGGAGGUACAGUCACCGUAAACGGUGGCGGCUCUCUCUAAGAAACCUAUCGGCGUCAACGGCGGCGAGUUUGCGGCGCAUGGCUUCAUUUGCUCCAUCUUGAGUGGUCAAAUGUAUUGUUUUCUAAUGUCUGCUCCUUAUAAAUUGAAAAACACUUAUCUAUAAGAGAAAAGAAAAAAGAGUUUCGUGAUUAUCUAGGACACCUUGGUGAUGACAAUGGAGAUAAGGUUGACAAAUAUUACAGAUCUCAAGCCAAUUGGCAUGUUAGAUGUAAAUAAACAAACUUGUUUGACUACGUAGCGCUAUAGUCUUUGGUCAUAUUUA
rnacentral:lncRNA from 1 species